rnacentral:rRNA from 1 species
UUGUCCCUACGGGAGGCAGCAGUGAGGAAUAUUGGUCAAUGGGCGCAAGCCUGAACCAGCCAAGUCGCGUGAGGGAAGACGGCCCUACGGGUUGUAAACCUCUUUUGCCGGGGAGCAAGCCUGAGCACGUGUGCCCAGGCGGAGAGUACCCGGAGAAAAAGCAUCGGCUAACUCCGUGCCAGCAGCCGCGGUAAUACGGAGGAUGCGAGCGUUAUCCGGAUUUACUGGGGGUAAAGGGAGCGCAGACGGCAGGGCAAGUCUGAUGUGAAAGUCCGGGGCCCAACCCCGGGACUGCCUUGGAAACU